UGUGUGGGCUGGGGCGCCGCUGUAUUCAGAUUUAUUAAUGCAGAGGAAAGUCCGGACUCCGAAAAAAUCUUCAGGGCCGAGGCCCUGAAGGCGGGUGCCAGGCCAGCUAACGGCUGGGCGGAGUGAUCCGACGGAAAGCGCAACAGAAAAUAUACCGCCCGUGGUCGCUCUUAACGCGAGUAAGGGUGAAAGCGCGGGUAAGGGUGAAAUGGUGGGGUAAGGGCCCACCGCUGCGUCGGUAACGGCGCAGGCACGGCAAGCCCCCUGGGGAGCAAGACCAAAUAGGCCGACGUACCCUGCAAGGGGUGGAAGAUUGACCCGGUCGAGUCGGCGGGUAGGUUGCCAGAGGCGGCAGGCGACUGCCGUCCCAGAUGAAUGGCGUUCUUUAACAGAAUCCGGCUUACAGGCUCACCUUAAAG
rnacentral:RNase_P_RNA from 1 species